GAGGCAAGAAAGUCGUGUAAAUUAAAGGUGGAUGAGCCUUACAGGGGCAACAUGAGAUCACAUGUGGGCAUUCUUAUUAUUCACAUGAUACACUUUCUGCUUGUGUUCAUGUGUCCUAUAGGCUAUAAAUGUGUUCUCAGGUCGCCCCUGCAGGACUUUCCUCCACCACAUGAUCGUGAUCAUGGUGAUGCAAUCGGCUUGAUGGUUUUACGCUGGCAAUAAUCAUAGCUUAAUAGCCAGGUCAGCAAGGUCAUCUUCCCCAACUCCUUUCCAAAUCCCACCGAUCAUGAGAUGGCCUUUGACACUUUCCUUUAAUGGAUUUCGCUUGCUGGGUGAGAAGGUCUGUCACAGAUGCGAUUUCUUCCUCCGCAACAUCUGGAUUUGAUAAACUUUGUAACUGAAGUUUUUUGGGUCCCUCAAACAGAAAGCUUUCUCCUAUAAACUAGGUAAGAUGGAGGGCCGAACCCUAAGCUGCUUGUUGCCUGGAGCUAAUGCAUAAGACAUUCAUGCAGGAGAUCUAAAAGAAUGGUUUUACUUUUUAGAUACAUUUGUUUCUGUUGGAGAAACUCUAGAUUCAUCUGCCGAAUCUUUGGGUCACCAAGGCUUCAGUCCCUCAAGACUUCCAAACAGCAACGCAAACAAAGAAUGUCUUGCCUAUAUAGUCUGACCAUGUGUGAUGCUGUCUUCCUAAAAAGAGAUUCACAUAGAGAUUGGGGCAUGUCUGGAUACUUUGCAUAAAUACAUAGAGAUUUAAAGUAUCCAGCUAAUCAUUACUUAUGCAUAAAUACACAGAUUGGGGAUGUUUGGAAAAUAAAA